CCUACGGGUGGCUGCAGUGGGGAAUAUUGGGCAAUGGGCGCAAGCCUGACCCAGCAACGCCGCGUGAAGGAAGAAGGCUUUCGGGUUGUAAACUUCUUUUCUCAGGGACGAAGCAAGUGACGGUACCUGAGGAAUAAGCCACGGCUAACUACGUGCCAGCAGCCGCGGUAAUACGGAGGUGGCAAGCGUUAUCCGGAUUUACUGGGUGUAAAGGGCGUGUAGGCGGGACUGCAAGUCAGAUGUGAAAACCACGGGCUCAACCUGUGGCCUGCAUUUGAAACUGUAGUUCUUGAGUACUGGAGAGGCAGGCGGAAUUCGUGGUGUAGCGGUGAAAUGCGUAGAUAUUAGGAGGAACACCGGUGGCGAAGGCAGUCUGCUGGACAGCAACUGACGCUGAGGCGCGAAAGCGUGGGGAGCAAACAGGAUUAGAUACCCGAGUAGUC
rnacentral:rRNA from 1 species